rnacentral:rRNA from 1 species
UUACUGACGCUAAAGCUCGAAGGUGCGGGUAUCGAACAGGAUUAGAUACCCUGGUAGUCCGCACGGUAAACGAUGGAUGCCCGCUGUUUGCGAUAUAUUGUAAGCGGCCAAGAGAAAUCGUUAAGCAUCCCACCUGGGGAGUACGCCGGCAACGGUGAAACUCAAAGGAAUUGACGGGGGCCCGCACAAGCGGAGGAACAUGUGGUUUAAUUCGAUGAUACGCGAGGAACCUUACCCGGGCUUGAACUGCAGCGGAAGGAUACAGAGAUGUUGACGUCCUUCGGGACCGCUGUGGAGGUGCUGCAUGGUUGUCGUCAGCUCGUGCCGUGAGGUGUCGGCUUAAGUGCCAUAACGAGCGCAACCCUUUUCAUCAGUUGCCAUCAGGUGAUGCUGGGCACUCUGUUGAUACUGCCACCGUAAGGUGUGAGGAAGGUGGGGAUGACGUCAAAUCAGCACGGCCCUUACGUCCGGGGCUACACACGUGUUACAAUGGGGCAUACAGAAGGCAGGAUCAUGGCAACAUGGUUCAAAUCUUUAAAGUGCUCCUCAGUUCGGAUUGGGGUCUGCAACCCGACCCCAUGAAGCUGGAUUCGCUAGUAAU